CUACGGGAUGCAGCAGUCGAGAAUCUUCCGCAAUGGACGAAAGUCUGACGGAGCGACGCCGCGUGCGGGAUGAAGGCCUUCGGGUUGCAAACCGCUGUCAGUGGGGAGGAAAUGCAUCAGGGUUCUCCCUGGUGUUUGACCGAUCCGCAGAGGAAGCGCCGGCUAAGUUCGUGCCAGCAGCCGCGGUAACACGAACUGCGCGAACGUUAUUCGGAAUCACUGGGCUUAGAGAGUUCGUAGGCGGCCUUUCAAGUCGGGUGUGAAAUCCCUCGGCUCAACCGAGGAAUUGCGCCUGAUACUGGUGGGCUUGAGGGGGAUAGGGGUGAGCGGAACUGAUGGUGGAGCGGUGAAAUGCGUUGAUAUCAUCAGGAACACCGGUGGCGAAGGCGGCUCACUGGAUCUCUUCUGACGCUGAGGAACGAAAGCUAGGGGAGCGAACGGGAUUAGAUACCCGCGUAGUC
rnacentral:rRNA from 1 species